CCAAUAAGACAUCUGUCUCUGUUUCAAUUUACAUACGCAUUGUCACAACAUGUGGCAUGAAUCCCCUCUCCCGAAUGCCAAAUAUGUCAUUACAAUUCCUAUUCAAAUCCAAUCAAACCAUGAUUACUACAAAAGCCCCCGUAUUGCCGUGCUCCUAUAUGCAGGUUUGAGGCUUAGCUCCCUUUAAGCAAAUAUUUAUCCCUCCAGCCAGGAUGACUUUAUUGCAGUUUGUGAUUAUAUAUGGGUCUGUGAGAGGAGUGUCAACCGUGCAUGCUCCACAAUGUGCCUGGAGAGAUUGAUGUUUUGUCAUCCACCUGCUUCAAAGCUGUAAAACCCGGGAGGCAGCAGCAAACGGAGAGACCUACCCAGCCCGGAAAAAAACAAACAAAGAGAGACCUUACUGGUGCUGUUUACACAUCUGUGUGGAGGACUAUCUGGGCUUGUGUGUUUUGACAUCGCGCUCAAAUGGCUGCACGGCUCCUGUCUCAGUGAAACGGAAGAUGUAGAGGAGCUGAAUGCUGGAGAGUGAGUGAAGGAGUGAAGCUGAGCCCUGGACGGAGGGAUCUGCUGGAGGAAAGGAGAGAGAGAGUGUCGGCUGAACUGGGCCACAGCAUCCGAGCUGGGAGACCUGAGAGAAGAGAUGGGAGAGGGCGGCUCCGCUGACUGGAGGAGUACCAGCUGGUCUCAAACAGGUAGGGAGCCGUGCCAAGUCCCUGUGCCAGCGUCUGUCGUGCCCGCUGACGUUCGUCGUCUGUUGGCUUCCAUCAGGGCCUCUCUCUCUCUCUGAUCUGGAAUGAAGAUGAUUUGAUUAGACCUCUGGUAAAGGCUGGGCAGGCCCUAUACAAAGUCAUUAGGAUGGCCAGGAGUGGACUGGGGUGUUACGGGUGAGUAGUGGGUGACCGCAGCGGACUCACAUUUGCACUGGACUGUUAGUUAAAAUGUUGUGUGUCUGUGCAUGUGUGUGUAUGCACCUUUUGAA